CUACGCACUUCUUAGGUACUCAAAUGAUGCCCUAGAGCCCAAGGCCUAGGGCGGUGCCCUGUUUGCCACUGCCACCCUGUCCAGGUUUUUAAGCCGCCUAGGACAUGGUGAGGGGGGAGUAGUUUUCCUUGCGGUGUCCUGCAGAAAAUUUCCUUGAGGUUCCACGGGUGCCUCGGGAAACUGGAAACGCAAGAUUCCAGAUGCUGGACCUCCAAGCCGUGCGGUGGUCCAAGGGGCAGGGCGUAACCUGGGUGCAACCUAAAUGGCUGAACUCUGACACACACAGCCACCGGCUCCCCGGGGCUGGUUGGGGGCUUGGCGCCAACGACACCCACGGGCCAGAACUCUGGGGACCACAGCAGACGCACCCUCCCAGCCCAGCGCCCCCGCGAGCUCGCCAGAGCACUGCAUUCUCCGAUAUCUUCAGGCUGUUGUUCUUUAAUCACUGUGACUGGACAACACAAAUAUCUGAAGAUUUUUUCUGUGCCUCAGGAUGAAAAAAGUCCUCAAAGGGAAAUGUUUUGCCGAAGUGGAAGAGGUGAAACAAAAAUAGCAGAAGCACUAAAAGGCAUCAAAGUCACCAAAUUCAAAAACUUUUGAGCAGUGGAAAAAAACACCUUAGUAGGUAUAUUGCAUCAAAUGGACAGUACUUUGAAGGUGACUCCAGUUUAAACAUGUUGCUGGUUUGGUUUAAAGGUGAACAUCUGUGCAAGGCAGCAACUUGAAUAGGGAAGACAACGGAUACAUUUUUCUUGACUUGGUGAGAUGGCAGAUGAGUUAAAGGAAGAAAAGAGAGAGAAAAUGGACACGGGAGAAUGUGACUUUGGGGGAACCAUUUUCCCCAGAAAGGGGACGUUUUAACCUCUACAGCUUGGAACAGAGCAUUCCAAAACAGCUGGAAAGUCCUUGAUAACUUCUAUAGAUGAAGUAAAUUAAAACCUUCUCCUGCCCCAUGGGUCAAAUCCUGCUGUUCAUGAAUAAUCUUCAGGUUGCUGUCCAGCUGUCUCCAGAUGAAUGAGUCUCCCAAAGACUUGACAAUUUGGCCUGAGAAGAUGCGCCACGCUGAAAGUUCCAGUUGUCCCUGUAAGGGACUGGGUUUUUUGUUUUUUGUUUUGUUUUGGGGGUUUUUUUGUUGGUUUUUUUUUGCCUCAAAGAUUCUAGGCCAGAAGUGUAGAAGAGCCCAAGAAUGUUUCUGCUAGCAGCUUUUACUAUAAUUCAUACCCCCACUUUUUAGUCAAAGAAAUUCUAUCCCUCAGGUCCACCCAGGAAGAAAACAUCUUAGGAUACACAGCACAGAGUCCUAUGCUUCACAUCAGAAAAGCCAUCUUCACUCUGGGAAGAAUCUAUGGUGUCUCUCCACAAUGUCAAUAAGCUCAUAUCACUGAUACGCAAUAAGAGGGGUACCAUAGCAGGAAGGCAGUGCCUUACUUGCUCUCUUGUUACUGUGAGAGGUUUCUUAGUUCAAGGAACUGAGCCUACUGCUGGGAGGCAUUUCAGGGAAAAGGGAGCCAUUGUCCCCAACAGGAUGCACAUUUUAAGAGCAUGUCUCUUCAUCAGCCUAACAUAGGCUGGCUUCUCUGCUUGUGGAUCAACAAAGUCCUUCUCAACAAAUGUCAAAUGUCUUUGUGUUUUAAAAUAUCCCCAAGAACAAAUAUUACUGAGGUAGAUAAUUAUAACGUAGGCAUUAUUUUACCCAGCCUAAUUCAAUAAAUAUCAACUGAGUGGCUGACUUGAAAGAAACGAUGCCACAUUCUACUGGAAAACUAAUGCAAGACCCUGGUCCCUGACCUCUAGGAGCUUAUCAUCUAGUAGUCAGGGACCCAAGGCAUGUCAGCUAUGGGCUCUGUCACACCAAAUGUUUCCUAUAGAGGGGAACCUAUUGCUCCCUGCUCUGAGAGAAAGCACCAAGCUCUUCCAUGUCCAGGAAUGGCCACUGAUUGGUCCAAGACCAGGGGACUAGCCCAAGGGUCACCCCUACCUCCAUAGG